rnacentral:lncRNA from 13 species
GCUGUUUAUUAUCUAUCCUGACGCCUGGUCACUUCUACCCAUACCUACAUGUACACAUGACCUCAAAUACCUCAACUACCUCGUACCCUUGCACAUUGACUCUGUACCGGUUCUCCUUGUAUAUAGCCUUUUUACUGCUAUUUAUCAGGUACCUAUUUUAUAUUUUUUAUUUGCAAAUGCUUUUACUUUUUAACUCUGCAUUGUUGGGAAUGGGCUCGUAAGUAAGCAUUUCCCUGUGAAGUCUAAACCCGUUGUAUUCGGUGCAUGUGAACAAUAAAAUGUGAUUUGAGUUGAUGUACUAUACCUUGUGUAAAAAAAACAAAAACAGAGUAGACAUUUAUAUCUGAGACUGACUAAAACACAGAACAAUCCCUGUAUGGGUUAUUUUUUUAUUUUAUUUUUUUUUUACCUUUAUUUAACCAGGCAAGUCAGUUAAGAACAAAUUCUUAUUUUCAAUGACGGCCUGGGAACAGUGGGUUAACUGCCUGUUCAGGGGCAGAACGACAGAUUUGUACCUUGUCAGCUCGGGGGUUUGAACUCGCAACCUUCUGGUUACUAGUCCUACCCUGCCGCCAACACACACAUCAGGUUUAAUAGGCAAGACAGGGUCAAAGUUAUCAGGUUUAACCAACAAGACAGGACCAAAGUUAUCAGGUUUAAUAAACAAGACAGGGCCAAAGUUAUCAGGUUUAACCAACAAGACAGGGCCAAAGUUAUCAGGUUUAACCAACAAGACAGGGCCAAAGUUAUCAGGUUUAACCAACAAGACAGGGCCAAAGUUAUCAGGUUUAAUCAACAAGACAGGACCAAAGUUAUCAGGUUUAACCAACAAGACAGGACCAAAGUUAUCAGGUUUAACCAACAAGACAGGGUCAAAGUUAUCAGGUUUAAUAAACAAGACAGGGCCAAAGUUAUCAGGUUUAACCAACAAGACAGGGCCAAAGUUAUCAGGUUUAAUCAACAAGACAGGACCAAAGUUAUCAGGUUUAACCAACAAGACAGGACCAAAGUUAUCAGGUUUAACCAACAAGACAGGGUCAAAGUUAUCAGGUUUAAUAAACAAGACAGGACCAAAGUUAUCAGGUUUAAUCAACGAGACAGGACCAAAGCUAUCAGGUUUAACCAACAAGACAGGGUCAAAGUUAUCAGGUUUAAUCAACAAGACAGGACCAAAGCUAUCAGGUUUAACCAACAGGACAGGACCAAAGUUAUCAGGUUUAACCAACAGGACAGGACCGAAGUUAUCAGGUUUAACCAACAGGACAGGACCAAAGUUAUCAGGUUUAACCAACAGGACAGGACCAAAGGGAAAUGAACAACAGCAGUUAUUAUUCAUCCGUGGAUCAAUAUUUGAUCAAUAUUUAAUAUUAAAAAGAUUUGUUGGGUUUAACACCUGACACCAGUGUGUUCAGCAAACACACUAUGACCAAUGUUAUCAAGAUCAAUGUAUUUCUGAACUCAAGAAUUAAGAUGACAUACACAUUAUCACUGUGCUAUGAUGACACAUUCUACAAUAAAUGGACUGUCGUGUUUAGGUUCACAUCAAGAAGGGGGAUGACGUGGCAAACCAACGAGCCUACUCACACUUUUCAGUAUAGGCCUAUAAAAUAGCCUGCCUUAUCACUGACAGAUGCCUAGAAUAUGUGGACAAUUACAAAUACCUAGGUGUCUGGCUAGACUGUAAACUCUCCUUUCAGACUCAUUUUAACAAGCAUCUCCGAUCCAAACUUAAAUCUAGAAUCGGUUUCCUAUUUCGCAAACAAAGCCUCCUUCACAUCACGCCGCCAAACAUACCCUCGUAAAACUGACUAUCCUACCGAUCCUCGACUUUGGCGAUGUCAUUUACAAAAUAGCCUCAAACACUCUUCUCAGCAAAUCAGAUGCAGUCUAUCACAGUGCCAUCCGUUUUAUCAUCAAAGCCCCGUAUACUACCCACCACUGCGACCUGUAUGCUCUCGUUGGCUGGCCCUCGCUACAUAUUCGUCGCCAGACCCACUGGCUCCAGGUCAUCUAUAAGUCUAUGCUAGGUAAAGCUCCUCCUUAUCUCAGUUCACUGGUCACGAUAACAACACCCAUCCGUAGCAUGCGCUCCAGCAGGUAUAUCUCACUGGUCAUCCCCAAAGCCAACACCCCCUUUCCUUCCAGUUCUCUGCUGCCGAUGACUAGAACGAAUUGCAAAAAUGACUGAAGUUGGAAACUUAUAUCUCCCUCACUAACUUUAAGCAUCAGCUGUCAGAGCAGCUUACCGAUCGCUGCAAAUAGCCCAUCCAACCAACUUCCUACCUCAUCCCCAUGUUGUUUUCAUUUGCUUUUUUGCUAUUUUUCACACCAGUACUUCUACUUGCACAUCAUCAUCUGCACAUAUAUCAUUCCAGAGUUUAAUUGCUAAAUUGUAAUUACUUGCUAUUAUGGCCUAUUUAUUGCCUUACCUCCUUACUCCAUUAGCACACACUGUAUAUAGACUUUUCUACUGUAUUAUUGACUGUAUGUUUGUUUUACUCCAUGUGUAACUCUGUGUUGUUGUUGUCUGUGUAACACUGCUUUGCUUUGCUUUAUCUUGGCCAGGUCGCAGUUGUAAAUGAGAACUUAUUCUCAACUAGCCUACCUGGUUAAAUAAAGGUGGAAUAAAUAACAAAAAUUGAAAAAAGAAAUAAAGAAUAGCCUGCCUUAUCACCGAUAGUUUCCGUAGAGAGAUGUGUGAUGUACAAUCCCCCAUUGGGGAAGCUCACAGAACACACCACACACAGCUCACUCACUGUACAUUGGAAUCAUCGGUUACAUUUAAUACAACGUUCAUGUCCAUAUCCUCCGACACGAGGACCCCAACUCGUGUAAGUGGUUUAACUCUGAUGAUCCACUUCGUUACAUUGUAUUUGUUACAUUAGCUCACAAAGGGAGAAAGAAGCAGAGCGGUCAAGCUGGCCGCGUCUUUUGUUUCAGGAAGAGAAGGCAAGGUAUGGCAGGCAGCGUGGCAGACAAUUCCAAGUUGGAGAUGGCAUAGAAUUGUUACAAAUUGUCUUACAAAACUGCACAGUUAUGGUCAGCAAAUGCAAGUUGGCUUAUAGGCGAAAAUAUGAUUCAAGCGUUAUAGGCUAUGAUAAUGUUAUUGCUAAUUUAUUACAUCCAGAUACUUGUUAAUGAAUUAUAGCGUAGCCUAAACCCACAAUUGGACGUAUGAAGCCUAACUAAAAACAUGUCUUAAAAUGUUGUAAGGAAAUGGUUCCGAGGAAGAUUUGAUAUCUACCAGCCCCCCCCCCCCCUCGCUCCUUUUCCUCGCACACGAGUUGUAAACAAUGAUAUAGAAUAGCUCCCGUUUAGUUGUUUAAACAUCUAUAAUACGACGUAUAUCUACGAGUAGAUCACAUAAUACUUUUACUUUAGGAGUUAUCUCUUCAGACAAGUUGUACGUGUUCUCUAAAUGAUGCUUUAUAUAUCAGAGCACGCUGUUGUUUUCCGCGAACAAGACAGAAACGCCCCUUACAUAUCUUAAAAUGGCAGCAUAUCUUCAUUUAAUGUUCAUUUUACUGUCCCUCGGUGAGCUGCGGUAUCGAUAAACAUCAUGCAUGAAUAACAAAUAUAUAAAAAGCUAGACAACCCAAUAAUUGAAGGAAAAUGUGUUGUUUUCUAUCACUUCCUCAAAUCAAACUCAAAUAAUGGAACAAGCAAACACCCAUGCGCAUAAAAACACGGAAAAUUGGAUUUCCUCUACAUGCUAUAGUUUUUUUCCCAGCGACUUGAAGUCUUUAAUAUAAUAGAAUAACACCAUUAAAUCUGUCUAAACUCUUAAAAGAACCAACAUUGGUUGACUGAGAGGGGCUUGUUUGCGCCCCCUAUCCUACCGCGUUCAGUUCUCUAAAUGUUCUUUCCGUGCCUAUAAUUCCACACACUAUAAGCUACAUGAAAUGGUGCGAGGUUAUGUAAAACAAUGUUACAUGCGUGUGUGUAAUCAGCAAAUAUUGUAAAGAAAAAACAACAUACCCAUCCAUUGCACAGAGGAAACAGUGUAGAAAGGACAGUGAACGCUCGGCAAAGUGAAGAAAUAGGUUUGGGUGUUGUUACUAGCGCCUCUGGUAUAACCCUCGCCCCCACAACACAGAAAAUGUUCUCUCUCAUACGCACAAUGGCACGCUUCCUGUUCCUGACGCGAGCACAGACAUACAGACAUGUACAGACGCCUGCCUGCCUGCCUCGCUGUACAAAAUGGCCUCCCCUCUCUGGCAGCUCCAAAAGAGACACACCUUUGUCACUUUCCACAACGAACACGCAUCCAAGCAGGCCUACACCAAUCUGCGCCCCAGCGCGCCAUCUCCCCGCACGCAGCUUGGACAGAAAUACGGCUAGAAUAAAGCUUUGCCCGCCAUGUCAGAGAGAUAGCGAGAGGGGUUAUCAUGUAGGGAAAGAUUGGAGUCGAGCCACUUGUCUGCUGCAGACUAGGAGUUAGUUAAACAGGGAUAAUCUUGUUCAACGGCAGGUAUUAAUUAAUCAAGUUAAUGGAUCCCACUGAUCCAAGACUCUGCAUUUUAAUCAAUCUCCCACAGUCCACACUAAUUUACCCCGAGAGAGACACAAUAAAGCCGUACCACGUAUUCUUAUUUCGGGUGGAAGGUAGCCUAGUGGUUGGAGCGUUGGGCCAGUAGCCGAAAGGUUGCUCUAUCGAAUCCCUGAACUGACAAGGUAAAAAUCUGCAGUUCUGAGCAAGGCAGUUAACCCACUGUCCCCAGGCUGCCAUUGUAAAUAAGAAUUAUUUCUUAACUGACGUGCCUAGUUAAAUAAAGUUUAAAUAAUAAAAAAUAGACAUGUAUUAAGCCUGUAAUAUAUAUGUAUUUAAGCACUGUAAUAUACUUAAGCAAUAAGGCACGAGAGGGUGUAUAUUAGCCUUAUUUCACAAACCUCCAAGGUGCCUUAUUGCUGUUAUAAACUGGUUACCAACAUAAUUAGAGCAGUAAAAAUAAAUGUUUUGUCUUACCUGUGGUAUACUGUCUGAUAUACCAUGGCUGUCAGCCAAUCAGGGUUCGAACCAACUAGUUUAUAAAUGUAUAUAAGCCUAUAAUGAGUCUGUAGUAUACAUGUAUAUAAGCCUGUAAUGAGUCUGUAGUAUACAUGUAUAUAAGCCUGUAAUGAGUCUGUAGUAUACAUGUAUAUAAGCCUGUAAUGAGUCUGUAGUACACAUUAUGUAAGCCUGUAAUGAGUCUGUAGUAUACAUUAUAUAAGCCUGUAAUGAGGCUGUAGUAUACAUGUAUAAGCCUGUAAUAUACAUUAUAUAAGCCUGUAAUAAGCCUGUAAUAUACAUGUAUAUAAGCCUGUAAUGAGUCUGUAGUAUACAUGAAAAUAAAUAAAAUAAAAUAAAAUGUAUUUAUAUAGCCCUUCGUUCAUCAGCUGAUAUCUCAAAGUGCUGUAUAGAAACCCAGCCUAAAACCCCAAACAGCAAGCAAUGCAGGUGUAGAAGCACGGUGGCUAGGAAAAACUCCCUAGAAAGGCCAAAACCUAGGAAGAAACCUAGAGAGGAACCAGGCUAUGUGGGGUGACCAGUCCUCUUCUGGCUGUGCCGGGUGGAGAUUAUAACAGAACAUGGCCAAGAUGUUCAAAUGUUCAUAAAUGACCAGCAUGGUCAAAUAAUAAUAAUCACAGGCAGAACAGUUGAAACUGGAGCAGCAGCACAGCCAGGUGGACUGGGGACAGCAAGGAGUGAUCAUGUCAGGUAGUCCUGAGGCAUGGUCCUAGGGCUCAGGUCCUCCGAGAGAGAGAAAGAAAGAAAGAAAGAAAGAGAGAAUUAGAGAGAGCAUACUUAAAUUCACACAGGACACCGGAUAGGACAGGAGAAGUACUACAGAUAUAACAAACUGACCCUAGCCCCCCGACACAUAAACUACUGCAGCAUAAAUACUGGAGGCUGAGACAGGAGGGGUCAGGAGACACUGUGGCCCCAUCCGAUGACACCCCCGGACAGGGCCAAACAGGAAGGAUAUAACCCCACCCACUUUUCCAAAGCACAGCCCCCACACCACUAGAGGGAUAUC